UACGGAGGAUGCAAGCGUUAUCCGGAAUGAUUGGGCGUAAAGCGUCUGUAGGUGGUUUCUGAAGUCUGCUGUCAAAUAUCAAGGCUUAACCUUGAGUCGGCAGUAGAAACUCAGAAGCUUGAGUACGGUAGGGGCAGAGGGAAUUCCCGGUGUAGCGGUGAAAUGCGUAGAGAUCGGGAAGAACACCAACGGCGAAAGCACUCUGCUGGGCCGAAACUGACACUAAGAGACGAAAGCUAGGGGAGCAAAUGGG
rnacentral:rRNA from 2 species